rfam:Picea glauca, whole genome shotgun sequence.
GCAUGCCUACAACAUAGCAUUAAUGCACCAGAUCCCAUUAGAACUCUGCAUUUAAGCACACUCAAGCUAGAGUAGUACUGGGAUGGGUGACUGCCCAGGAAGUCCUAAUAUUUUACAUGCC